UACGUAGGGUGCAAGCGUUGUCCGGAAUUAUUGGGCGUAAAGAGCUCGUAGGCGGUUUGUUGCGUCGGCUGUGAAAUCACGAGGCUCAACCUCGGGUCUGCAGUCGAUACGAGCAAACUAGAGUGUUGCAGGGGAGACUGGAAUUCCUGGUGUAGCGGUGAAAUGCGCAGAUAUCAGGAGGAACACCGGUGGCGAAGGCGGGUCUCUGGGCCGAUACUGACGCUGAGGAGCGAAAGCGUGGGGAGCGAACAGG
rnacentral:rRNA from 1 species